UUUGGUUUUUAGUUAUUGCAACACUUGUAACUAUAAGGGUACACAUUACAGGAAGGAGGUGAGGAAGGAUCUGAUCCCUCAUCUUCUCGUUACUUUCUCGUUUAUUUUUACAUAUUGUACACGAUUAAGUGUAUAAAAAUGAAAUUCAAUAUAAAAUUAUUUGAAAACUUCUCACGAGAACAUUUUUCGCCACCGAUCCUCGCUUAUACAAAAGAUAUGUAUAGGCCACUGUAACACGGUUAUAUGAUAUGGCCGUGCUUCAUUAAAACAUGUUUAAAUAUCUUUAAUGAAUUCUAAAUUAAAACACCGUCAUGAGGUAAAAUGUUUGGCUACUUAUGAGUGCAUUUUAUUAUUUAAUUGA